AGGAAAAGGUGAAGCUGCCAGCAUGAUCUACCUCUGGUCUGCUAGCUUGAAAAGACAAAAGCGUAAAGAUAAAGAGAUUGAUUCAUACCAAUUUCUUUUUUCUUGAUCCUCCAUUGCUAACCCUAGUUAGGUCAUGCUCUGACAGCCUCACUCCUUCCUA